rnacentral:pre_miRNA from 1 species
AUGUGAUGUGACAUGCCCGUUUGAAUUUUACUCUGAUAUUGAAUUAUUAUUUAAUUGAUUUUGGAAAACGGGGUGUUACAAAAUU